UACGGGAGGCAGCAGUGGGGAAUAUUGCACAAUGGGCGAAAGCCUGAUGCAGCUAUGCCGCGUGUAUGAAGAAGGCCUUAGGGUUGUAAAGUACUUUCAUCGGGGAGGAAAAAACAAAACUAAUAAUUUUAUUUCUUGACGUUACCCGAAAAAGAAGCACCGGCUAACUCCGUGCCAGCAGCCGCGGUAAUACGGAGGGUGCUAGCGUUAAUCAGAAUUACUGGGCGUAAAGAGCACGUAGGUGGUUUUUUUAAAGUCAGAUGUGAAAUCCCUGGGCUUAACCUAGGAACUGCAUUUUGAAACUGAAAUACUAGAGUAUCGUAGAGGGAGGUAGAAUUCUAGGUGUAGCGGUGAAAUGCGUAGAUAUCUGGAGGAAUACCUGUGGCGAAAGCGGCCUCCUAAACCGAAUACUGACACUGAGGUGCGAAAAGCGUGGGGAGCAAAACAGGGAUUAGAUACC
rnacentral:rRNA from 1 species